rnacentral:tRNA from 1 species
GGGGGUAUGGCUCAGUGGUAGAGCAUUCGACUGCGGAUCGAGAGGUCCGUGGUUUAACUCCGCGAGCCCCA